CCUACGGGUGACAGCAGUCGAGAAUCAUUCACAAUGGGGGAAACCCUGAUGGUGCGACGCCGCGUGGGGGAAUGAAGGUCUUCGGAUUGUAAACCCCUGUCAUGUGGGAGCAAAUUAAAAAGAUAGUACCACAAGAGGAAGAGACGGCUAACUCUGUGCCAGCAGCCGCGGUAAUACAGAGGUCUCAAGCGUUGUUCGGAAUCACUGGGCGUAAGGCGUGCGUAGGCGGUUUCGUAAGUCGUGUGUGAAAGGCGCGGGCUCAACCCGCGGACGGCACAUGAUACUGCGAGACUAGAGUAAUGGAGGGGGAACCGGAAUUCUCGGUGUAGCAGUGAAAUGCGUAGAUAUCGAGAGGAACACUCGUGGCGAAGGCGGGUUCCUGGACAUUAACUGACGCUGAGGCACGAAGGCCAGGGGAGCGAAAGGGAUUAGAUACCCGAGUAGUC
rnacentral:rRNA from 1 species